CAGCAGUGGGGAAUAUUGCACAAUGGGCGCAAGCCUGAUGCAGCCAUGCCGCGUGUGUGAAGAAGGCCUUUCGGGUUGUAAAGCACUUUCAGCGAGGAGGAAGGUGGUGAACUUAAUACGUUCAUCAAUUGACGUUACUCGCAGAAGAAGCACCGGCUAACUCCGUGCCAGCAGCCGCGGUAAUACGGAGGGUGCAAGCGUUAAUCGGAAUUACUGGGCGUAAAGCGCACGCAGGCGGUUUGUUAAGUCAGAUGUGAAAUCCCCGGGCUCAACCUGGGAACUGCAUUUGAAACUGGCAAGCUAGAGUCUCGUAGAGGGGGGUAGAAUUCCAGGUGUAGCGGUGAAAUGCGUAGAGAUCUGGAGGAAUACCGGUGGCGAAGGCGGCCCCCUGGACGAAGACUGACGCUCAGGUGCGAAAGCGUGGGGAGCAAACAGGAUUAGAU
rnacentral:rRNA from 1 species